rnacentral:rRNA from 1 species
AGAGUUUGAUCAUGGCUCAGAUUGAACGCUGGCGGAAUGCUUUACACAUGCAAGUCGAACGGCAGCACGGGAGCUUGCUCCUGGUGGCGAGUGGCGAACGGGUGAGUAAUGCGUCGGAACGUGCCGAGUAAUGGGGGAUAACGCAGCGAAAGUUGUGCUAAUACCGCAUACGCCCUGAGGGGGAAAGCGGGGGAUCGCAAGACCUCGCGUUAUUCGAGCGGCCGACGUCUGAUUAGCUAGUUGGUGGGGUAAAGGCCUACCAAGGCGACGAUCAGUAGCGGGUCUGAGAGGAUGAUCCGCCACACUGGGACUGAGACACGGCCCAGACUCCUACGGGAGGCAGCAGUGGGGAAUUUUGGACAAUGGGGGCAACCCUGAUCCAGCCAUUCCGCGUGAGUGAAGAAGGCCUUCGGGUUGUAAAGCUCUUUCAGCUGGAGUGAAACGGUGCGCUCUAACAUAGCGUGCUAAUGACGGUACCAGCAGAAGAAGCACCGGCUAACUACGUGCCAGCAGCCGCGGUAAUACGUAGGGUGCGAGCGUUAAUCGGAAUUACUGGGCGUAAAGCGUGCGCAGGCGGAUUGUUAAGCAAGAUGUGAAAUCCCCGGGCUUAACCUGGGAAUGGCAUUUUGAACUGGCAGUCUAGAGUGCGUCAGAGGGGGGUGGAAUUCCACGUGUAGCAGUGAAAUUGCGUAGAGAUGUGGAGGGAACACCCGAUGGGCGAAAGGCAGCCCCCUGGGGAUGACACUGACGCUCAUGUACGAAAAGCGUGGGUAGCAAAACAGGAUUAGAUACCCUGGGUAGUCCACGCCCUAAACGAUGUCAACUGGUUGUUGGGGGAGUGAAAUCCCUUAGUAACGAAGCUAACGCGUGAAGUUGACCGCCUGGGGAGUACGGUCGCAAGAUUAAAACUCAAAGGAAUUGACGGGGACCCGCACAAGCGGUGGAUGAUGUGGAUUAAUUCGAUGCAACGCGAAAAACCUUACCUACCCUUGACAUGUCCGGAAUCCUGCAGAGAUGCGGGAGUGCCCGAAGGGGAAUCGGAACACAGGUGCUGCAUGGCUGUCGUCAGCUCGUGUCGUGAGAUGUUGGGUUAAGUCCCGCAACGAGCGCAACCCUUAUCAUUAGUUGCUACGCAAGGGCACUCUAAUGAGACUGCCGGUGACAAACCGGAGGAAGGUGGGGAUGACGUCAAGUCCUCAUGGCCCUUAUGGGUAGGGCUUCACACGUCAUACAAUGGUCGGUACAGAGGGUUGCCAAGCCGCGAGGUGGAGCCAAUCCCAGAAAGCCGAUCGUAGUCCGGAUCGCAGUCUGCAACUCGACUGCGUGAAGUCGGAAUCGCUAGUAAUCGCAGAUCAGCAUUGCUGCGGUGAAUACGUUCCCGGGCCUUGUACACACCGCCCGUCACACCAUGGGAGUUUGUUGCACCAGAAGCAGGUAGCUUAACCUUCGGGGGGGCGCUUGCCANCGGUGUGGCCGAUGANCUGGGGUGAAGUCGUAA